rnacentral:rRNA from 1 species
AGAGUUUGAUCCUGGCUCAGGAUGAACGCUAGCUACAGGCUUAACACAUGCAAGUCGAGGGGCAGCAUGGUCUUAGCUUGCUAAGGCCGAUGGCGACCGGCGCACGGGUGAGUAACACGUAUCCAACCUGCCGUCUACUCUUGGACAGCCUUCUGAAAGGAAGAUUAAUACAAGAUGGCAUCAUGAGUCCACAUGUUCACAUGAUUAAAGGUAUUCCGGUAGACGAUGGGGAUGCGUUCCAUUAGAUAGUAGGCGGGGUAACGGCCCACCUAGUCUUCGAUGGAUAGGGGUUCUGAGAGGAAGGUCCCCCACAUUGGAACUGAGACACGGUCCAAACUCCUACGGGAGGCAGCAGUGAGGAAUAUUGGUCAAUGGGCGAGAGCCUGAACCAGCCAAGUAGCGUGAAGGAUGACUGCCCUAUGGGUUGUAAACUUCUUUUAUAAAGGAAUAAAGUCGGGUAUGCAUACCCGUUUGCAUGUACUUUAUGAAUAAGGAUCGGCUAACUCCGUGCCAGCAGCCGCGGUAAUACGGAGGAUCCGAGCGUUAUCCGGAUUUAUUGGGUUUAAAGGGAGCGUAGAUGGAUGUUUAAGUCAGUUGUGAAAGUUUGCGGCUCAACCGUAAAAUUGCAGUUGAUACUGGAUAUCUUGAGUGCAGUUGAGGCAGGCGGAAUUCGUGGUGUAGCGGUGAAAUGCUUAGAUAUCACGAAGAACUCCGAUUGCGAAGGCAGCCUGCUAAGCUGCAACUGACAUUGAGGCUCGAAAGUGUGGGUAUCAAACAGGAUUAGAUACCCUGGUAGUCCACACGGUAAACGAUGAAUACUCGCUGUUUGCGAUAUACGGCAAGCGGCCAAGCGAAAGCGUUAAGUAUUCCACCUGGGGAGUACGCCGGCAACGGUGAAACUCAAAGGAAUUGACGGGGGCCCGCACAAGCGGAGGAACAUGUGGUUUAAUUCGAUGAUACGCGAGGAACCUUACCCGGGCUUAAAUUGCAGAUGAAUUACGGUGAAAGCCGUAAGCCGCAAGGCAUCUGUGAAGGUGCUGCAUGGUUGUCGUCAGCUCGUGCCGUGAGGUGUCGGCUUAAGUGCCAUAACGAGCGCAACCCUUGUUGUCAGUUACUAACAGGUUCCGCUGAGGACUCUGACAAGACUGCCAUCGUAAGAUGUGAGGAAGGUGGGGAUGACGUCAAAUCAGCACGGCCCUUACGUCCGGGGCUACACACGUGUUACAAUGGGGGGUACAGAGGGCCGCUACCACGCGAGUGGAUGCCAAUCCCAAAAACCUCUCUCAGUUCGGACUGGAGUCUGCAACCCGACUCCACGAAGCUGGAUUCGCUAGUAAUCGCGCAUCAGCCACGGCGCGGUGAAUACGUUCCCGGGCCUUGCACACACCGCCCGUCAAG